UGCCUCCAGAAAGGAUGGAACUCUCGACAUCUGGAUUACAAGACCAGUGCUUUGCACUGAACUAUACUAAGUAGAGGC